rnacentral:tRNA from 1 species
GCCUGGGUGGCUCAGCUGGUGAAGCAUCUGACUUCAGUUCAGGUCAUGAUCUCACGGUUCAUGAGUUCGAGCCCCGUGUCAGGCU